GGCCUACGGGGCGCAGCAGUGAGGAAUAUUGGUCAAUGGACGAGAGUCUGAACCAGCCAAGUAGCGUGAAGGAUGACUGCCCUAUGGGUUGUAAACUUCUUUUAUAAAGGAAUAAAACGAGGCACGUGUGCCUUUUUGCAUGUACUUUAUGAAUAAGGAUCGGCUAACUCCGCGCCAGCAGCCGCGGUAAUACGGAGGAUGCGAGCGUUAUCCGGAUUUAUUGGGUUUAAAGGGUGCGCAGGCGGCACGG
rnacentral:rRNA from 1 species